CGGCGUGCCUAACACAUGCAAGUCGUACGAGAAAGUUGGCUUCGGCCGAUGAGUACAGUGGCGCACGGGUGAGUAACGCGUGGAUAAUCUGCCUUUAAGUGUGGAAUAACGUACCGAAAGGUGCGCUAAUACCGCAUAAUGCCUGGCAACAUAAGUUGUCCGGCCAAAGAAGGCCUCUGCUUGCAAGCUUUCGCUAAAGGAUGAGUCCGCGUACCAUUAGCUAGUUGGUGGGGUAACGGCCUACCAAGGCGACGAUGGUUAGCUGGUCUGAGAGGAUGAUCAGCCACACUGGAACUGAGACACGGUCCAGACUCCUACGGGAGGCAGCAGUGAGGAAUAUUGCGCAAUGGGGGCAACCCUGACGCAGCAACGCCGCGUGAGUGAGGAAGGUUUUCGGACUGUAAAGCUCUGUCGAGCGGGAAGAAGUGUACCAUGGCUAAUAUCCAUGAUAUUUGACGGUACCGCUAGAGGAAGCACCGGCUAACUCCGUG
rnacentral:rRNA from 1 species